GACGAACGCUGGCGGCGUGCUAACACAUGCAAGUCGAGCGGUAAGGCCCUUUCGGGGGUACACGAGCGGCGAACGGGUGAGUAACACGUGGGUGACCUGCCCUUAGCUCUGGGAUAAGCCUGGGAAACUGGGUCUAAUACCGGAUAUGACUCCAUAACGCAUGUUGUGGGGUGGAAAGCCUUGUGCGGCUAGGGAUGGGCCCGCGGCCUAUCAGCUUGUUGGUGGGGUGAUGGCCUACCAAGGCGACGACGGGUAGCCGGCCUGAGAGGGCGACCGGCCACACUGGGACUGAGACACGGCCCAGACUCCUACGGGAGGCAGCAGUGGGGAAUCUUGCGCAAUGGGCGAAAGCCUGACGCAGCGACGCCGCGUGGGGA
rnacentral:rRNA from 1 species